rnacentral:rRNA from 1 species
UCUUUUGAGAUUAUUUCAAAGUAUAACCUGCCCAUUGAUAUUUUAAAAGGCUGCAGUAUUUUGACUGUACAAAGGUAGCAUAAUCAAUAGUUUUUUAAUUGAGAACUUGUAUGAAUGGUUGAACAAAAUAUAAACUGUUUCAAUUAAUUUAAUUUGAAUUUAAUUUUUUAGUUAAAAAGCUAAAAUAAUUUAAAAAGACGAGAAGACCCUAUAGAUUUUUAUUAUUUUAAAUAUUUUUUUUAGUAGGUAAAUUAAAAAAUUGUAUUGAUUAUAAUUUUAUUGGGGUGAUAAUAAAAUUUAGUAAACUUUUAUAAGUUAUAACAUGAUAAAUGAUUGUUUGAUCCAUUUUUAUGAUUAAAAGAUUAAAUUACCUUAGGGAUAACAGCGUAAUUUUUAUAUAAAGUUCAUAUUAAUAUAAAAUUUUGCGACCUCGAUGUUGAAUUAAGAAUAAUAUUUGGGGCAGUUUCUAAAUAAUUAAGUCUGUUCGCCUUUUAAAUUCUUACAUGAUCUGAUUCAAACCG